UUUUCUAGAAAUGACUAUAAUGUGACUAUUGCAUUGGAUAGAGUUUUCCAAUGGCAUUGUUUUCUACCUAUCUGACCUAUGUUGAGUUUCGCCAAGACUUGACGGGACCAUCACAUCUUUUGACCACCCCAAAGUCUCACUCGUUGCGCCAACACAGCAGAGAGUUCGUGAGGAGGGGCCUAUAUCCCUGAUCAGCGGCUUAUCCUUUCGUCCACCACAACACUAACUCACACAGUAACUGAUGACAAUCCUUUCCAACUAAUGCUCACUGAAUUUAUCCUUAGCGCUUCUGUUGACACAGCAUGGCACCAGGGACGGAUCCAGUGAUCCACUAACUUUUCCUAAACAGUAUCGAAAGAUUGAUCUAGAAGCUUUGACAGAGUUUUAGCUCUUUAUGUCUGCCACAUUGACUUUCUGAUGAAUAAAGGAAAAAAUCGUAGGUGAUAAGGUGACGUUUGCAGAGCGGCGUCUAUUAAAUAUCAUACCUUUAUGUUUGAAGCUGAGACCGGCGAUAGUUUUAGUAAGGGAGGGCUCCUGCAGAGAUCAAUUCACGGACGCUAAUGUUGCCUUGAAUUAUAGUAUGAUAACCGACAGAGUGACGUUUGCAGAGCGGCGUCUAUUGAAUAUCAUACCUUUAUGUUUGAAGCUGAGACCGGCGAUAUUCCUAAGUAAUACGGCAGAUGAAGACACAAGUUUUAGUAAGGGAGGGCUCCUGCAGAGAUCAAUUCACGGACGCUAAUGUUGCCUUGAAUUAGAGUAUGAUAACCGACAGAGAUCAAGUCAAAGUCAGGCCUGCAGCGACGAGCCCCUUUCUUUCGGAUUGUGAAGUGUAAUGUUAAUGUUUAAUGUAGCUGUUUAACGUCGAAAAUUGUUAGUUUGUAAUUGUUUUUGAGAAGCAAAAUAAUUAAUCUGAGAAGUGUUUCCAGUUUUUUAAAGCUCAGGCAUGGGCACCGUAUUGUUUAUUUAGUUAUAUUUUAUACAAUAUCUUUGACCUUUGUCGCAUUAAGUUGUAGUACUACUACUAGUAGCGGGGUAGUACUAGUAAAUACUGAAUACUGUGUUUCGUUUAUUCUAUAAGUAUAUAAAUAUUGCAUUGUGUAUCUUUGUUGCAUAGUACAUAGUAUAAGUUGAUAAGUAGCGAGGUAGUUAAUACUGUUUCGUGAUGUAUUUUGAUUGUACAAUCUUAAUUAUUCGUAUUAUUAUACCGCAAUUCCUGUAUUUUAUCGUCUAAAAGUGAACAAUACCAAAUUAAAAUAAACAAGAGGCAUUUAUAGCCUUCGAUAAGUAUAAAUAAUCGCACACGAUGUACGUGCACCCGGGGUUAAAUACGACGCAAUUGUCAGCACUGCGCGCGCGCACACGUACCAUCUUAUGUGU